ACCGGCUAACUCCGUGCCAGCAGCCGCGGUAAUACGGAGGGUGCAAGCGUUACUCGGAAUCACUGGGCGUAAAGGGUGCGUAGGCUGGCUUCUAAGUCAGAUGUGAAAUCCAAUGGCUCAACCAUUGAACUGCAUUUGAAACUGGGAGCCUAGAGUUCAGAAGGGGCAGAUGGAAUUAGUGGUGUAGGGGUAAAAUCCGUAGAUAUCACUAGGAAUAUCAAAAGCGAAGGCGAUCUGCUGGGAUGAUACUGACGCUGAGGCACGAAAGCGUGGGGAGCAAACAGGAUUAGAUACCCUGGUAGUCCACGCCCUAAACGAUGAAUGCUAGUCGUCGGGGAGCUCGUCUCUUCGGUGAUGCACUAACAGAUUAAGCAUUCCGCCUGGGGAGACGGUCGCAAGAUUAAAACUCAAAGGAAUAGACCGGGGACCCGCAACAAGUGGUGGAGCAUGAGGUUUAAUUCGAAGAUACACGAAGAACCUUACCUGGCCCUUGACAUGGUAGGAACCCUUAAGAGAUUAGGGGUGCUAGCUUGCUAGAACCUACACACAGGUGCUGCACGGCUGUCGUCAGCUCGUGUCGUGAGAUGUGGGGUUAAGUCCCGCAACGAGCGCAACCCUCGUCCUUAGUUGCUAACAGUUUGGCUGAGCACUCUAGGGAGACUGCCUUCGUAAGGAGGAGGAAGGUGAGGACGACGUCAAGUCAUCAUGGCCCUUACGGCCAGGGCUACACACGUGCUACAAUGGGGCGCACAGAGAGCUGCAAUACCGCGAGGUGGAGCCAAUCUCUUAAAGCGUCUCUCAGUUCGGAUUGUUCUCUGCAACUCGAGAACAUGAAGCUGGAAUCACUAGUAAUCGCAGAUCAGCUAUGCUGCGGUGAAUACGUUCCCGGGUCUUGUACUCACCGCCCGUCACACCAUGGGAGUUGAUUUCACCCGAAAUCGGGAUGCC
rnacentral:rRNA from 1 species